rnacentral:rRNA from 1 species
GAUGAACGUUGGCGGCGUGCCUAACACAUGCAAGUCGAACGCUGGUAGCAAUAUCAGAGUGGCGCACGGGUGAGUAACACGUAGCUUACCUACCUCAAAGCGCGGGAUAACGUUCCGAAAGGAAUGCUAAUACCGCAUAAGCUCGCGGUCUGUAGAGGGCUGAGAGAAAAGGGGCAACUCACUUCGAGAUGGGGCUGCGGCCCAUCAGCUGGUUGGUGAGGUAACGGCUUACCAAGGCAACGAC